rnacentral:tRNA from 1 species
UCUCUCUUAAGACGUUAGUAAAAUACAUUACCUAACCUUGUCAAGGUUAAAUUAUAGGUUUAAACCCUUUACGACUUAA